rnacentral:rRNA from 1 species
UACGGGGGGGGCAAGCGUUGUUCGGAAUUACUGGGCGUAAAGGGCUCGUAGGCGGCCAACUAAGUCAGACGUGAAAUCCCUCGGCUUAACCGGGGAACUGCAUCUGAUACUGGAUGGCUUGAGUUCGGGAGAGGGAUGCGGAAUUCCGGGUGUAGCGGUGAAAUGCGUAGAUAUCUGGAGGAACACCGGUGGCGAAGGCGGCAUCCUGGACCGACACUGACGCUGAGGAGCGAAAGCCAGGGGAGCAAACGGG